UUGUGACGGGACCAGCUGGCUGGUUCCAUGAGGUGACUUCUGCCCAGUGCUCUGAUUGUCAAUGCGAAGAGAUUCCGCCAAGCGCGGGUAAACGGCGGGAGUAACUAUGACUCUCUUAAGGUAGCCAAAUGCCUCGUCAACCAAUUAUUGACGCGCAUGAAUGGAUCAACGAGAUUCCUGCUGUCCCUAGGUGCUGUCUGGUGAACCAACAGCCAAGGGAACGGGCUUGGAUGUGUCAGCGGGGAAAGAAGACCCUGUUGAGUUUGACUCUAGUUUGAUGCUGUGCAACGACAUGGAGGGUGUAGCACAGGUGGGAGGCAAGUGCCAUCUCUCCCCACCACGUGGAGCAGUGAAUGGAGUGUGGGCAAUCCAGAAACCCACUGUGAUGCAGAGUCCAAGAGAAUCUGGUGCAAGCCAACAGUGAAAUACCACUACCUUCACCGUCGUUUUACUCACCAAGUUGCCUGAGAACAGCGAGCCGUUGGACAUCGGCCCCCACUGGGAGCUGUGGCUCAAUACUGCUUCGUGCAACAAGUGCUAUCUCGUGCAUGAUUCAGGGUUCUGCCCCUGCAAACAGCCUUGGGACAAUGAUCAGUUGGGGAGUUUGGCUGGGGCGGCACGCCUGUUACAUCACAACGCCGGCGUCCUGAAGCAUUGCUCAGUUGGAACAGAAAUCCUGCAUGGAGGAGCAGGCCAAAGGUGCUGCUGACGCAGUCACUUUCAGUACAAGUGCAGAACACGCAAGUGUGGCCUUUCGAUCCUUUGGUCAAGCACUGCUAUUCUGGAUAUUGAAGCCAGAGGUGUCAGAAAAAUUACCACAGGGAUAACUGGCUUGUGGCUGCCAAGCGUUCAAAGCGACGUCGCUUUUUGAUCCUUCGAUGUCGGCUCUUCCUAGCUUGCCACCCGCAGCAGAGUGCAAGAGUUGGAUUGUUCACCCACCAACAGGGAACGUGAG
rnacentral:rRNA from 1 species